rnacentral:rRNA from 1 species
GAUACGGGCAGACUUGAGUACUGCAGGGGAGACUGGAAUUCCUGGUGUAGCGGUGGAAUGCGCAGAUAUCAGGAGGAACACCGGUGGCGAAGGCGGGUCUCUGGGCAGUAACUGACGCUGAGGAGCGAAAGCGUGGGGAGCGAACAGGAUUAGAUACCCUGGUAGUCCACGCCGUAAACGGUGGGUACUAGGUGUGGGUUUCCUUCCUUGGGAUCCGUGCCGUAGCUAACGCAUUAAGUACCCCGCCUGGGGAGUACGGCCGCAAGGCUAAAACUCAAAGAAAUUGACGGGGGCCCGCACAAGCGGCGGAGCAUGUGGAUUAAUUCGAUGCAACGCGAAGAACCUUACCUGGGUUUGACAUGCACAGGACGCCGGCAGAGAUGUCGGUUCCCUUGUGGCCUGUGUGCAGGUGGUGCAUGGCUGUCGUCAGCUCGUGUCGUGAGAUGUUGGGUUAAGUCCCGCAACGAGCGCAACCCUUAUCUUAUGUUGCCAGCGCGUAAUGGCGGGGACUCGUGAGAGACUGCCGGGGUCAACUCGGAGGAAGGUGGGGAUGACGUCAAGUCAUCAUGCCCCUUAUGUCCAGGGCUUCACACAUGCUACAAUGGCCGGUACAAAGGGCUGCGAUGCCGUGAGGUGGAGCGAAUCCUUUCAAAGCCGGUCUCAGUUCGGAUCGGGGUCUGCAACUCGACCCCGUGAAGUCGGAGUCGCUAGUAAUCGCAGAUCAGCAACGCUGCGGUGAAUACGUUCCCGGGCCUUGUACACACCGCCCGUCACGUCAUGAAAGUCGGUAACACCCGAAGCCGGUGGCCUAACCCCUU